UUUUUGUCAACAAGCCCACAAACCAUCUUCUAUUAAUGAAAUUGCACCGCGGGAUUGUGAUUAAUAUAAUGUUCUUAUAUGGGCCAAGUUUAACACAGGCUCAGUGCACUAAGCGAGUUACAGAAGUGAUGUCACCUUCCUCGGAUCGUGCAUUCUUGGAGCCAGCGAACCACUGGGAUUUAAUUCCUGUGGGAGCAGGGAGAGCUGCACUCGUCACACACUGUGUGCCAGACCUGGCACAGCACCACUACCUAGACAGCAGGUAACUGCCACACCAUAGGCCACACCAUAACUCCAGCUCAAGAGGGGCAAUGUCCCAUUAC
rnacentral:lncRNA from 1 species